AUCUACGGAAUCCAGAGGCAGCAUUGUCUCCAACCUUCCGUAGUGACAGCCCAGUGCCUACUGCACCCACCUCUGGUGGCCCUAAGCCCAGCACAGCUUCAGCAGUUCCUGAAUUAGCUACAGAUCCUGAGUUAGAGAAGAAGUUGCUACACCACCUCUCUGAUCUGGCCUUAACAUUGCCCACUGAUGCUGUGUCCAUCUGUCUUGCCAUCUCCACGCCAGAUGCUCCUGCCACUCAAGAUGGGGUAGAAAGCCUCCUGCAGAAGUUUGCAGCUCAGGAGUUGAUUGAGGUAAAGCGAGGUCUCCUACAAGAUGAUGCACAUCCUACUCUUGUAACCUAUGCUGACCAUUCCAAGCUCUCUGCCAUGAUGGGUGCUGUGGCAGAAAAGAAGGGCCCUGGGGAGGUAGCAGGGACUGUCACAGGGCAGAAGCGGCGUGCAGAACAGGACUCGACUACAGUAGCUGCCUUUGCCAGUUCGUUAGUCUCUGGUCUGAACUCUUCAGCAUCGGAACCAGCAAAGGAGCCAGCCAAGAAAUCAAGGAAACAUGCUGCCUCAGAUGUUGAUCUGGAGAUAGAGAGCCUUCUGAACCAACAGUCCACUAAGGAACAACAGAGCAAGAAG
rnacentral:circRNA from 1 species